rnacentral:rRNA from 1 species
UUAGGCGGACGGGUGAGUAACGCGUGGGGAACCUGCCUGCACCGGGGGAUAACACUUAGAAAUAGGUGCUAAUACCGCAUAAGCGCACAGAGCCGCAUGGCUCAGUGUGAAAAACUCCGGUGGUGCAAGAUGGACCCGCGUCUGAUUAGCUGGUUGGCGGGGUAACGGCCCACCAAGGCGACGAUCAGUAGCCGGCCUGAGAGGGUGAACGGCCACAUUGGGACUGAGACACGGCCCAAACUCCUACGGGAGGCAGCAG